UUAAGUUAUUAAGGGCGCACGGUGGAUGCCUUGGCACUAGAAGCCGAUGAAGGACGUUACUAACGACGAUAUGCUUUGGGAAGCUGUAAGUAAGCUUUGAUCCAGAGAUUUCCGAAUGGGGAAACCCAGCAUGAGUUAUGUCAUGUUAUCGAUAUGUGAAUACAUAGCAUAUCAGAAGGCACACCCGGAGAACUGAAACAUCUUAGUACCCGGAGGAAGAGAAAGAAAAUUCGAUUCCCUUAGUAGCGGCGAGCGAAACGGGAAGAGCCCAAACCAACAAGCUUGCUUGUUGGGGUUGUAGGACACUCUAUACGGAGUUACAAAGGACGACAUUAGACGAAUCAUCUGGAAAGAUGAAUCAAAGAAGGUAAUAAUCCUGUAGUCGAAAAUGUUGUCUCUCUUGAGUGGAUCCUGAGUACGACGGAGCACGUGAAAUUCCGUCGGAAUCUGGGAGGACCAUCUCCUAAGGCUAAAUACUCUCUAGUGACCGAUAGUGAACCAGUACCGUGAGGGAAAGGUGAAAAGCACCCCGGAAGGGGAGUGAAAUAGAACCUGAAACCGUGUGCUUACAAGUAGUCAGAGCCCGUUAAUGGGUGAUGGCGUGCCUUUUGUAGAAUGAACCGGCGAGUUACGAUUUGAUGCAAGGUUAAGCAGUAAAUGUGGAGCCGUAGCGAAAGCGAGCCUGAAUAGGGCGUUUAGUAUUUGGUCGUAGACCCGAAACCAGGUGAUCUACCCUUGGUCAGGUUGAAGUUCAGGUAACACUGAAUGGAGGACCGAACCGACUUACGUUGAAAAGUGAGCGGAUGAACUGAGGGUAGCGGAGAAAUUCCAAUCGAACCUGGAGAUAGCUGGUUCUCUCCGAAAUAGCUUUAGGGCUAGCCUCAAGUGAUGAUUAUUGGAGGUAGAGCACUGUUUGGACGAGGGGCCCCUCUCGGGUUACCGAAUUCAGACAAACUCCGAAUGCCAAUUAAUUUAACUUGGGAGUCAGAACAUGGGUGAUAAGGUCCGUGUUCGAAAGGGAAACAGCCCAGACCACCAGCUAAGGUCCCAAAAUAUAUGUUAAGUGGAAAAGGAUGUGGCGUUGCCCAGACAACUAGGAUGUUGGCUUAGAAGCAGCCAUCAUUUAAAGAGUGCGUAAUAGCUCACUAGUCGAGUGACACUGCGCCGAAAAUGUACCGGGGCUAAACAUAUUACCGAAGCUGUGGAUUGUCCUUUGGACAAUGGUAGGAGAGCGUUCUAAGGGCGUUGAAGCAUGAUCGUAAGGACAUGUGGAGCGCUUAGAAGUGAGAAUGCCGGUGUGAGUAGCGAAAGACGGGUGAGAAUCCCGUCCACCGAUUGACUAAGGUUUCCAGAGGAAGGCUCGUCCGCUCUGGGUUAGUCGGGUCCUAAGCUGAGGCCGACAGGCGUAGGCGAUGGAUAACAGGUUGAUAUUCCUGUACCACCUAUAAUCGUUUUAAUCGAUGGGGGGGACGCAGUAGGAUAGGCGAAGCGUGCGAUUGGAUUGCACGUCUAAGCAGUAAGGCUGAGUAUUAGGCAAAUCCGGUACUCGUUAAGGCUGAGCUGUGAUGGGGAGAAGACAUUGUGUCUUCGAGUCGUUGAUUUCACACUGCCGAGAAAAGCCUCUAGAUAGAAAAUAGGUGCCCGUACCGCAAACCGACACAGGUAGUCAAGAUGAGAAUUCUAAGGUGAGCGAGCGAACUCUCGUUAAGGAACUCGGCAAAAUGACCCCGUAACUUCGGGAGAAGGGGUGCUCUUUAGGGUUAACGCCCAGAAGAGCCGCAGUGAAUAGGCCCAAGCGACUGUUUAUCAAAAACACAGGUCUCUGCUAAACCGUAAGGUGAUGUAUAGGGGCUGACGCCUGCCCGGUGCUGGAAGGUUAAGAGGAGUGGUUAGCUUCUGCGAAGCUACGAAUCGAAGCCCCAGUAAACGGCGGCCGUAACUAUAACGGUCCUAAGGUAGCGAAAUUCCUUGUCGGGUAAGUUCCGACCCGCACGAAAGGCGUAACGAUUUGGGCACUGUCUCAACGAGAGACUCGGUGAAAUCAUAGUACCUGUGAAGAUGCAGGUUACCCGCGACAGGACGGAAAGACCCCGUGGAGCUUUACUGUAGCCUGAUAUUGAAAUUCGGCACAGCUUGUACAGGAUAGGUAGGAGCCUUUGAAACGUGAGCGCUAGCUUACGUGGAGGCGCUGGUGGGAUACUACCCUAGCUGUGUUGGCUUUCUAACCCGCACCACUUAUCGUGGUGGGAGACAGUGUCAGGCGGGCAGUUUGACUGGGGCGGUCGCCUCCUAAAAGGUAACGGAGGCGCUCAAAGGUUCCCUCAGAAUGGUUGGAAAUCAUUCAUAGAGUGUAAAGGCAUAAGGGAGCUUGACUGCGAGACCUACAAGUCGAGCAGGGUCGAAAGACGGACUUAGUGAUCCGGUGGUUCCGCAUGGAAGGGCCAUCGCUCAACGGAUAAAAGCUACCCCGGGGAUAACAGGCUUAUCUCCCCCAAGAGUUCACAUCGACGGGGAGGUUUGGCACCUCGAUGUCGGCUCAUCGCAUCCUGGGGCUGUAGUCGGUCCCAAGGGUUGGGCUGUUCGCCCAUUAAAGCGGUACGCGAGCUGGGUUCAGAACGUCGUGAGACAGUUCGGUCCCUAUCCGUCGUGGGCGUAGGAAAUUUGAGAGGAGCUGUCCUUAGUACGAGAGGACCGGGAUGGACAUACCUCUGGUGUACCAGUUGUCGUGCCAACGGCAUAGCUGGGUAGCUAUGUGUGGACGGGAUAAGUGCUGAAAGCAUCUAAGCAUGAAGCCCCCCUCAAGAUGAGAUUUCCCAACUUCGGCUAUAAGAUCCCUCAAAGAUGAUGAGGUUAAUAGGUUCGAGGUGGAAGCAUGGUGACAUGUGGAGCUGACGAAUACUAAUCGAUCGAAGACUUAAUCAA
rnacentral:rRNA from 1 species